CUAGCGGUUGCCAAACACUUCCAUGCUGUGGUGGCCCGACUAAAGCCUUUGGAUAUAUCUUUCUGCAGCUUACUAACUAAACAAAAGCAAUGUUGUUCAGCACAAAUACAACAUUCUCACUCUCUACUCCACCAACAGGGCGGAGAGGAAGAGAGCCAGUGUGAAGCAGCAGAGUCUCAGCAGAAACCUCUUCAUCCUGGAAAGAACGGACCAAUCAGGACAGCCAUAUUUCAGUCCCGCCCCUCAGGUCCAGGAAGUAUGUCAGGAGGUGGAUGAGUUCAUCUAUGUGGCCAAUGCAGAGACAGGAAGAGGUAACACCAAGACUCCAACACAUUCCUCAUACUUGCUCCUAUUCCUAGGCCCUUGUUGCCAGCCAGAUAAUCUUGUCAAGCAAACUGACUCCUGCGCUCACAGAAUAUGAGCUAUCGCAACAUCAGGCUGGUUCCACCAGGCUACCUUCCAGGACCAGAGCCAGUGAAAGGUGGUGAGGGGGAGGCGUCUCAGAUCCAGGCAUUGGUGGACCCUGCCUAGUGUUCGUCCUCCAGAACCCUCCUGGUCCUGACUUUUGUGUCCAGAGAGGAACCAGACCCAAUCAGAACCACUAGUCCCAGUACUGCUAGAUUAAAGACCAGGAACCCCAGUGUGGAUAUUGCACAGAGGCUCUGCCUGUCCCUGCUACCCAACCUCUGUCUGUCUGUCUGUCUGUCUGUCUGUCUGUCUGUCUGUCUGUCUGUCUGUCUGUCUGUCUGUCUGUCUGUCUGUCUGUCUGUCUGUCUGUCUGCCUGCCUGCCUGCCUGCCUGCCUGCCUGCCUGCCUGCCUGCCUGCCGGAGUGCUCUGGUCUCAGACUGUAGCUAGCUGUCUAAGGAGCCUGUCUGCUGGGGUGCUCUGGUCUCAGGCAGUAGCUAGCUGUCUAAGGAGCCUGUCUGCUGGGGUGCUCUGGUCUUAGACUGUAGCUAGCUGUCAGAGGAUCCUGUCUGCUGGGGUGUUCUGGUCUCAGGCUGUAGCUAGCUGUCCAAGGAACCUGUCUGCUGGGGUGCUGUGGUCUCAGACUGUAGCUAGCUGUCAGAAGUUCCUGUCUGCUGGGGUGCUCUGGUCUCAGGCUGUAGCUAGCUGUCAGAGGAUCCUGUCUGCUGGGGUGCUCUGGUCUCAGACUGUAGCUAGCUGUCAGAGGUUCCUGUCUGCUGGAGUGCUCUGGUCUCAGGCUGUAGCUAGCUGUCUAAGGAGCCUGUCUGCUGGGGUGCUCUGGUCUCAGACUGUAGCUAACUGUCAGAGGAUCCUGUCUGCUGGGGUGUUCUGGUCUCAGGCUGUAGCUAGCUGUCCAAGGAUCCUGUCUGCUGGGGUGCUGUGGUCUCAGACUGUAGCUAGCUGUCAGAGGUUCCUGUCUGCUGGGGUGCUCUGGUCUCAGGCUGUAGCUAGCUGUCAGAGGAUCCUGUCUGCUGGGGUGCUCUGGUCUCAGGCUGUAGCUAGCUGUCAGAGGAUCCUGUCUGCUGGGGUGCUCUGGUCUCAGGCUGUAGCUAGCUGUCAGAGGAUCCUGUCUGCUGGGGUGCUGUGGUCUCAGGCUGUAGCUAGCUGUCAGAGGAUCCUGUCUGCUGGGGUGCUGUGGUCUCAGGCUGUUGCUAGCUGUCAGAGGAUCCUGUCUGCUGGGGUGCUGUGGUCACAGGAUCCUGUCUGCUGGGGUGCUGUGGUCUCAGGCUGUAGCUAGCUGUCAGAGGAUCCUGUCUGCUGGGGUGCUGUGGUCUCAGGCUUUAGCUAGCUGUCAGAGGAUCCUGUCUGCUGGGGUGCUGUGGUCUCAGGCUGUAGCUAGCCUUCAGAGGAUCCUGUCUGCUGGGGUGCUCUGUUCUCAGGCUGUAGCUAGCUGUCAGAGGAUCCUGUCUGCUGGGGUGCUCUGGUCUCAGGCUGUAGCUAGCUGUCAGAGGAUCCUCUCUGCUGGGGUGCUGUGGUCUCAGGCUGUAGCUAGCUAUCUAAGGAACUACCUUCAGCACAAAUGCUUCUGAAGGAAUGUUCUACCUCUGAUGUGCCUUGUUUCAAUGAAUCGCAAAAGAAAAAGUCAUUAUUGGGUUAAUAUUAUUUAAUAACCCUGUCAAAAUGUUUUGGUGAAUAAAUUGUGGGUUGUGAAACAAAACAGAAGUGAAGAGAACUACUGUUUAACUGUAGCUACGGUACUUUAAUGAAGAUAAUGAAGGGUUUUGGUUAUGACAUUGUUUUCUUCUACUACUA
rnacentral:lncRNA from 1 species